UGGAAGUGGACUUUGUGCUCUGAAU
rnacentral:piRNA from 1 species